rnacentral:lncRNA from 1 species
AUGUACUUGGUGGCCGAGCUCUGGGCUGGGAGGAGGCCUAGACUGCUGGGCAGAGUUUCUGUCAGGAAGUCUGGCUGUGGAUCACAUGGGUGGCCUGGCACAGGGACCAGUGCACAGCCCUGGGUCAUCCAGCUCUGCCUGAGAGGGACCGCACCACAGGUUCUCUCGAGGUCCCGCUUCACUUGGAAAUCUCUGCCACGCUCCAGAUGGUUCCAAAGCCUCACUGACUCACUGAGUCACGAUCUUCAGUCCCUGGGAGGGCUCAGCCACAGCCAGCUCUCGGGGCCCACAGGAAGGAGCCAGUUCCUGGAGCUGGCGUCAAGGACGAGGUCUUGGUCCCAAGGAGCCCUGAAUUGGAGCUGGGCUGGGCCAGGUUGCCAGGCUAAUAGCAUUUAUUGGACUCACUUUCAUGCAUUGCUGGAAUCCACGGCCAGCCACGGUAGGGGCUGAGGAGGAGAUUUUGCAUUUUCCCUGGCACCACCUUGGAAGUGAAUCCUCUUUCCUUGAAAACCAGGAAAAACACCAAAGCACAAUGGGCCCUUACUCAGGUUUGGACUGAUCUUUUUGAGCCUCACGACGACCAUGUGAGAUGCCAAUGAACUAUCUUGCGCAUAAGGAAGGCUCUGGGAACAGGGCUCAGACACAGCUUCUAAGUGUUAGAAGGAGGAUUUGAAUCCAGAUCCUGACUCCCUCAUCCUGUCCUCUUUCCACGACACCUCACUGCCUCCAAACAUAGUCCUUAGAUAAACCAGCCAGUAAACGAUGUUCCUGUUCCUCGGGGGCUGCAGGCCCAGUCCUGAGCCAGCUCAGGCUGAAAUCCCACGCUGGGACUUCGGUGCUGGUCUUCCUUUUCCUACCCUUCAGGGCUGCCAGGCUCUUCCUGUUCCUCAUGUCGGUUGCGUAUAUUUGCCAGGGGUACAGCAGCUGUCUCCAGUCCAUUGGCUCUUCCCAGCUGUCUGAAAGCGCCUCUUCCAAUGGUGUGGCCCUACUAGGCCCCAAGAUGCUAUUCUCUGCUUUUUUUCAUUCAUUUGGGGGCUGCUGAGGUCUCCAGGGCAGUUUGCUGAGCUCCUAAACCAACAGCACAGAGACACUGUGAGAAGGUAGAUUGGCAUCGCCUCCUUGCUGGCCUAGCUCUUGUCUGUCCGCCUGCUCACUGCCCUGUGGCUCCCUGCUGGCUGGGAUCAGGGCUCUCACCUUGUUGCUUUAUUGGAUACAGGCUUACUUUUGGUGUCUGGGUCAGGGCCUGACGCUGUGGCCUUUGUGUGCCAUAAUUGGAUCUCAAAGCACGGACCUCUGAGAGCUACUUAAGCCUCAGCAUCAUGGCACUGGUCACUGCAGCAAAUCUGACCUUCCAUUGAAUGGCAGCCACUGACCUGAGGACAAUCGUGGUACCUCCAAAGGAGCAAGAGAGAAGACCAAGAGUCUGAGAAAUAAAGGAAGCAAGUAGGAGGUGGGGAUUGUGCA